rnacentral:rRNA from 1 species
GACAUCGGUGGCGAGCGGGUUUCGGAAUUACUGGGCUUAAAGGGCGAGUAGGCGGUGGAGCAAGUCUGAUGUGGAAUCCUACGGCUUAACCGUAGAACUGCAUUAGAAACUGUUUUACUUGAGUCAGUGAGGGGAGGGCGGAAUUCCCGGUGUAGCGGUGAAAUGCGUAGAUAUCGGGAGGAAGGCCGGUGGCGAAGGCGGCCCUCUGGUACUGUACUGACGCUGAGGCGCGAAAGCGUGGGGAGAACACAGGAGGAGAUACCCCCGUAGUCC